UACGUAGGGUGCAAGCGUUAAUCGGAAUUACUGGGCGUAAAGCGUGCGCAGGCGGUGAUGUAAGACAGGUGUGAAAUCCCCGGGCUUAGCCUGGGAACUGCAUUUGUGACUGCAUCGCUUGAGUGCGGCAGAGGGGGAUGGAAUUCCGCGUGUAGCAGUGAAAUGCGUAGAUAUGCGGAGGAACACCGAUGGCGAAGGCAAUCCCCUGGGCCUGCACUGACGCUCAUGCACGAAAGCGUGGGGAGCAAACAGG
rnacentral:rRNA from 1 species